GGUUAUACGAGAGGCCCAAGUUGAUAGUCAUCGGCGUAAAGCGUGGUUUAAGUAAGAAAUCCAAAUAAAGACCGAAGGCCCUCAAAGCAGUUAUACGCAUUNGAGAGGCAGAAGUACAAUAACGAAAGUGGCUUUAAACAACUUGACCCCACGAGAGCUAUGGCACAAANUGGGAUUAGAUACCCCACUAUGCUUAGCCCCAAACAUUGAUAGCACACCACAUAUGCUAUCCGCCCGGGAAGUAAGUGCACGAGCUUGAAACCCAAAGGACUUGGCGGUGCUUUAGAUCCCCCUAGAGGAGCCUGUUUUAGAACCGAUAAUCCCCGUUCAACCUCACCUUUCCUUGUUCCCCCCGCCUAUAUACCGCCGUCGCAAGCUUACCCCGUGAUGGACUAAUAGUAAGCAUAAUUGGUAGAACCCAAAACGUCAGGUCGAGGUGUAGCGCAUGGGAAGGGAAGAAAUGGGGUACAUUCCCUAGCCAGGGAAUACGAAUGAUGCCCUGAAAAAAUGCAUCUGAAGGAGGAUUUAGUAGUAAGAGGGAAAUAGAGCGUCCCAAUGAAACUGGCCCUGAAGCGCGCACAUACCGCCCGUCACUCUCCCC
rnacentral:rRNA from 1 species